UACGUAGGGGGCAAGCGUUAUCCGGAUUUACUGGGUGUAAAGGGAGCGUAGACGGUAUGGCAAGUCUGAAGUGAAAGCCCAGGGCUUAACCCUGGGUCUGCUUUGGAAACUGUUAGACUAGAGUGCUGGAGAGGUAAGUGGAAUUCCUAGUGUAGCGGUGAAAUGCGUAGAUAUUAGGAGGAACACCAGUGGCGAAGGCGGCUUACUGGACAGUAACUGACGUUGAGGCUCGAAAGCGUGGGGAGCAAACAGG
rnacentral:rRNA from 1 species